CGCGCGGUUGGCGGCGGCGGCGGCGGCCGCGUCAGUGAUGGGGGCCCCCACCCCCAGCGCGGUGCACCUGAGUGACUGGCAGGAAAGUCACUUUGCUGUCACCUCUGGCACCUGCACGCCCAGGCAGAAGGCAGAUGGAUACCGUGCCAAGAUCCUGCGCAUUCAGUAUGCAUGGGCAAACUCCGAGAUCUCCCAGGUCUGCGCUGCCAACCUGUUUAAGAAGUACGCAGAGAAAUACUCCGCGAUUAUUGACUCUGGCAACGCAGAGACCGGCGUGAAUAACUAUGCGGAAAACAUUUUGACUUUGGCAAAAUGUCAGCAAAGUGACAGUGACAAGUGGCAAUCUGCCUUGACAACAGAUAACGUGUUUGAGUUGAAGUGUGUGCGAGAGAGGAUGCAGGCUGGCAAAAUUUUCCAGAGCUCUCAGAUGGCACCGACAGAUGCCCGUGUACGAGCUGAUAAAGGGGUCAGCGCCUCCGCGGCUCCAGCUCUUCCUAAACUCGAUGUCUUCGGCAGUACCAGGGAGACUGAGCUCACUGCUGGCUCAGCAAAAUGUGUGAGUCAGGCACCAGAUCUUCUUGGGCAUCCCUCAUCUUCCAAGUCACUUCAAAGCAGUGUGCCUCCUGUGACCAGGACUCCAGACACACUUCCUGCCACAACAGCCUCCUUAAGCAAACAGGUUCUUCCAGGUUUCCAGGCAACUCCGCUCUUUGGAAGCAAAGAAGCCACUAAUAGUAGUUCUCUGAAAAUGUCAGGUAACUGUUGUGAUGGACAAAAUUCGUCUCUUUUCAGCCAGUCAGCUGUACCUGCCUGGUCUGCAAAUUCUGGGAAAAGAAAAGCGUUCUAUGGUCUGGCUGAUGAAGGCAGCACAGCUGUUCCCAGCCUUGCUCCAUGUCAGGCUUCCAUUUCUACAGAAACUAAUGGCUUUUCAGGGCAGAGAAACAGAAAUGAAGAAAGCAGUGCUCUUGGGUUUAAAACUGCAAAGGAGCAGCUGUGGAUGGAUCAGCAAAAGAAAUGUCAAAACCAGCGUGCACCAGUUUCGUCAUAUGGAGGCAUGAAAAAAUCCCUGGGUGCAGGCAGGUCUCGGGGUCCAUUCAGCAAGUUUGUGCCUCCAGUUCCAAAACAAGAUGGAAGUGAAAACGGAGGAGCGCAGUGUAAGCCUCAUGUCGGGGAAUCAACAGACCCAUUGCUGCCUGUGGAUGAGCGGCUGAAAAACAUAGAACCAAAAAUGGUUGAACUCAUCAUGCACGAGAUCAUGGACCACGGGCCUCCGGUCAGCUGGGAUGACAUUGCUGGAGUCGAGUUUGCCAAAGCCACUAUAAAAGAAAUAGUGGUGUGGCCCAUGCUGAGACCAGACAUCUUCACCGGCUUGCGUGGUCCUCCGAAAGGAAUUCUGCUUUUUGGCCCCCCUGGGACUGGCAAGACCCUCAUAGGCAAGUGCAUCGCGUGCCAAUCUGGAGCAACUUUUUUUAGCAUCAGUGCCUCCUCUCUGACUUCCAAGUGGGUGGGUGAGGGGGAGAAGAUGGUCCGUGCGCUGUUCGCUGUGGCGCGGUGUCAGCAGCCAGCGGUGAUUUUCAUCGACGAGAUCGAUUCCCUGUUGUCCCAGCGCGGAGAGGGGGAGCAUGAGUCGUCCAGGAGAAUAAAAACUGAAUUUCUGGUGCAGUUAGAUGGGACAACAACCUCCUCUGAAGAUCGUAUCCUGGUGGUUGGAGCAACAAAUCGACCCCAGGAAAUUGAUGAAGCUGCCCGAAGGAGACUGGUGAAGAGACUGUACAUCCCUCUCCCAGAAGCCUCCGCCAGGAAGCAGAUUGUCACCCGGCUGAUGGCAAAGGAGCACUGCUCUCUGAAUGAAGAGGAAAUCAAACUCAUAGUCCAGAAAACCGAUGGGUUUUCUGGGGCAGACAUGACACAGCUGUGUCGGGAAGCUUCUCUGGGCCCUAUCCGCAGCCUGCAAUCCAUGGACAUUGCGACCAUCACGCCGGAGCAGGUACGGCCCAUCUCUUUCCUGGACUUUGAGAGUGCCCUGAGGACGGUGCGGCCCAGCGUGUCCCCCAAGGACCUGGAGCUCUAUGAAACCUGGAACCAGACGUUUGGCUGCGGCAGAUGAGCUGCAUCGCAGCUGUUGCACAGGAGCAGUUCAGGAUUUCGGCACCGCCACGUAUUAAACCUGUGGCUGUUUAGUGCCUCUGCACUUUGUUUUGUUUCUGUCCUGGAAUUAAAACUUCUCAUGUUAUACAGGCAGAUGUCCAGGCUCUGGCUGAGGCUUUGCCAGCUGAAAAGACCAUGAGGAACUGCUGCUCAUGAUAAGAGAAGUCGCUGAACAGCAGUGGCAUUGAGAGGCUGGCAGCAUUUACAGGUUGCUGGGAGAGAUGGAAACAAAUGUCACCGAUGUUUAAGGGGAAGGCUAUCAAACCUCACAAAUAAUUGAAAGGAAUGUUGGAGAAAUCUUGCAAGGUCCACCAGGCUGUGUCAGUAAGGGAUUCAAGUAAUAGCAGAAAUACCCAUUUUGGGUAGGAGUAUGGCAAAACUGGAUAGAGAAGAAUAAUUAGAGGUGCUUUGUUUGGGAGCAGAGGGUGGAGGUGGAUGUGGACUUGUAUGGAAAAAUGGAAGGGGAGACAAAAGAGGAAGGUCUCUUGAGUGUUGCUCUUGUCUGACAGUCUUUUGGCUCAUCACUGCAGUCAA